UACGUAGGGUCCGAGCGUUGUCCGGAAUUAUUGGGCGUAAAGGGCUCGUAGGCGGUCUGUUGCGUCGGGAGUGAAAACUUACAGCUUAACUGUGAGCGUGCUUUCGAUACGGGCAGACUUGAGGCAUUCAGGGGAGAACGGAAUUCCUGGUGUAGCGGUGAAAUGCGUAGAUAUUGACAGGAACACCAGUGGCGCAAGCGGCUAUCUGGACCGACAUUGACGCUGAGGCACGAAAGCGUGGGGAUCAAACAGG
rnacentral:rRNA from 1 species